GUGAACGCUGGCGGUAGGCCUAACACAUGCAAGUCGAACGGCAGCACAGUAAGAGCUUGCUCUUACGGGUGGCGAGUGGCGGACGGGUGAGGAAUACAUCGGAAUCUACUUUUUCGUGGGGGAUAACGUAGGGAAAUUUACGCUAAUACCGCAUACGACCUACGGGUGAAAGCAGGGGAUCUUCGGACCUUGCGCGAUUGAAUGAGCCGAUGUCGGAUUAGCUAGUUGGCGGGGUAAAGGCCCACCAAGGCGACGAUCCGUAGCUGGUCUGAGAGGAUGAUCAGCCACACUGGAACUGAGACACGGUCCAGACUCCUACGGGAGGCAGCAGUGGGGAAUAUUGGACAAUGGGCGCAAGCCUGAUCCAGCCAUACCGCGUGGGUGAAGAAGGCCUUCGGGUUGUAAAGCCCUUUUGUUGGGAAAGAAAAGCAGCAGGUUAAUACCCCGCUGUUCUGACGGUACCCAAAGAAUAAGCACCGGCUAACUUCGUG
rnacentral:rRNA from 1 species